rnacentral:lncRNA from 1 species
UAUAAUUAAGGUCUCCGAGCUUUUUUCCUACAUAUAUAUAAGUAUAUAACAUUACCACAUGGAAGAGUCAUUAAACUACAAGUAACAUAAAUACUCACAUGCAUAUAUAGAGUCUUGAUUGUUGAAGAUAACCCUUAAAAUUUGAUGGGUCUACCCCAACGAUUUUGAUGGCUUUUAAUUCCCUUAUUAUUUUCCAUGCCAUCUUUGGGGACUACUUGAUGAACCACCCAGUAACGCUCUCUUCGGGCAGCGGCCGGGAAUGAUGCGUCGGCGGUGUUGGCGGCGGUCCUCGUCUGUGGACCAUAGUACUUCUCUAUGAGAGCAAAGCCCUCUGCACCAAUCUUCCUGAGAUCAGCUGCCAUGGUUUGUUGAAUAUUAAUUAUUAUGUAUGUUAUGAAUUAUGAUUAUAUAUGAUGCUAU